rfam:Camelus ferus unplaced genomic scaffold scaffold692, whole genome shotgun sequence.
GAGGUGAUAGCUCAAGUGGUAGAGCACAUGCUUAGCAUGCACAAGGUCUUGGGUUCAACCCCCAGUACCUCC